rnacentral:rRNA from 1 species
UAGGGAAUCUUCCACAAUGGACGCAAGUCUGAUGGAGCAACGCCGCGUGAGUGAAGAAGGUUUUCGGACCGUAAAGCUCUGUUGUUGGUGAAGAAGGAUAGAGGUAGUAACUGGCCUUUAUUUGACGGUAAUCAACCAGAAAGUCACGGCUAACUACGUGCCAGCAGCCGCGGUAAUACGUAGGUGGCAAGCGUUGUCCGGAUUUAUUGGGCGUAAAGCGAGCGCAGGCGGAAGAAUAAG